rnacentral:rRNA from 1 species
GAUCAUGGCUCAGGAUGAACGCUGGCGGCGUGCCUAAUACAUGCAAGUAGAACGCUGAAGCUUGGUGCUUGCACCGAGCGGAAGAGUUGCGAACGGGUGAGUAACGCGUAGGUAACCUGCCUCUUAGCGGGGGAUAACUAUUGGAAACGAUAGCUAAUACCGCAUAAAAGUCGAUAUCGCAUGAUGUUGAUUUGAAAGGUGCAAUUGCAUCACUAAGAGAUGG